GUCUAUAUAUCAGAGACAUCCUGACCAACACACGGUUGGUAUUAGCUCUCAUCUAGCACCCAUGGCGAAAUGUCUGAAGCACACUACUAUCCACGCACUGUGGCUGGUUGCCAUAGUUCUUCUUGCAUCCUCUGUCGUACUUCAUGCGCGCAUAAUAAGCAGGCAAACCAAAGAGAAUAGCAACACUAGGAGCUUGACAAUGACUAUGAUGGGGCCGGCAAGCAACAUUAUUGGCACUGGGGUGGGCAACUUUCUAGAGGGAAGUGCAUUAAGGAUCAUGCAUAGUUCGUGUGCGUAAAGACUAUGGAGUGUUUUGUGACCUUAGUGGAGUGCUUGAUAGGGUGCAGUGGUUAUGACUAACAAGAGGCCGUGCUUUUAUCCAA